rnacentral:ncRNA from 1 species
AAAAAGUUUUUUCGGCUUGGGUCUUUUAUAAUAUUAUAAUUUACAUGUAAACUUUUGUGGGAAAAAGAGUAAAUUUUAAAUAAAUUUAUUUAUAGUUAAAUUUGCAGUAAAAAGUUUUGUAUAUUUAAGAAAUUGAGAUACAUCUAAAAUAUCUAGUAUUAACUAAGUUUGUGCCAGCAGUUGCGGUUAGACAGAUGAUGCAAUAAAAAAUAUUUGGCUUUAAUUAAUAAACAUGAGGAAGAAUUUAAUUUAGAUUUUAUUAAGUGAAAUUUUAAGAUUUGUAUAAAUUUUUAUUGAGUUUAUGAAGUUACAAAAUUUAAAUAAGAAACUAGGAUUAGAUACCCUAUUAUUUUAAAUAGAAAAUUUAAAGCCUUAUUAGUAAUAGUUAUGAUCUUGAAAAUAAAGAGAGUUGGCGGUAUUUUAGUCUAUUCAGAGGAACCUGCCCUAUAAUCGAUGGUCCACGUUUUAUUAAACUUAUUUUCUAAGUCUGUAUAUCGCCGUAGGUUGAAUAUUUUUUAAAAAAUGAAAUGUUCAAUAAUUCUUUUAAGAAAAGAAUUCAGGUCAAGGUGUAGCUUAUAAAUAAGAAGAGAUGGGUUACAAUAAAAUUAUUUAUAACGAAUUAGUAGAUGAAUAUUUACUAUGAAGGAGGAUUUGAAGGUAAUUUUAUUUAAAUUUAUAAAAUGAUUCUAGUUCUAAAAUAUGUACAUAUCGCCCGUCGCUUUCAUUUCAAGGUGGAAUAAGUCGUAACAUAGUAGAUGUACUGGAAAGUGUAUCUGGGUUAAUCUU